rnacentral:rRNA from 1 species
AUUGAACGCUGGCGGCAGGCCUAACACAUGCAAGUCGAGCGGAUGAAGGGAGCUUGCUCCUGGAUUCAGCGGCGGACGGGUGAGUAAUGCCUAGGAAUCUGCCUGGUAGUGGGGGAUAACGUCCGGAAACGGGCGCUAAUACCGCAUACGUCCUGAGGGAGAAAGUGGGGGAUCUUCGGACCUCACGCUAUCAGAUGAGCCUAGGUCGGAUUAGCUAGUUGGUGGGGUAAAGGCCUACCAAGGCGACGAUCCGUAACUGGUCUGAGAGGAUGAUCAGUCACACUGGAACUGAGACACGGUCCAGACUCCUACGGGAGGCAGCAGUGGGGAAUAUUGGACAAUGGGUGAAAGCCUGAUCCAGCCAUGCCGCGUGUGUGAAGAGGGUCUUCGGAUUGUAAAGCACUUUAAGUUGGGAGGAAGGGCAGUAAGUUAAUACCUUGCUGUUUUGACGUUACCAACAGAAUAAGCACCGGCUAACUUCGUG